rnacentral:lncRNA from 1 species
CAACAUCCCCCAACCCCUCCCCCUUCCCUUCUAUAUGGGCUUCCCCUCCCCACCCUCCCCCCAUUACCGCCCUCCCCCCAACAAUCACGUUCACUGGGGGUUCAGUCUUGGCAGGAGCAAGGGCUUCCCCUUCCACUGGUGCUCUUACUAGGCCAUUCAUUGCUACCUAUGAGGUUGGAGCCCAGAGUGAGGUAAAUUUUUUAAUUACUUGUAUCUAUGCAUAAUUUACGCCUUGGUGCAUCAUUUUUACCUGGAGACUUGGGUGAUCUCUGCCAUCUGUGGUAUCAGAUCUGUUAUAAACCAGUCCGGAAGGCAAACUCCAUGAGCUGUUCUUGUCAGCAACAGGACAUACUAGCAUGUCCUAGUAUUUCAUGGACCAAGUGACUGAUUAUCACAAAUCUCUCUCCUGUCUUUCCCAUCUCCCAGGUACCAUCUAUGCUCCUCGAAGGAAAGGACAGUUGUCAGCAGACAUUUGCAUGGAGACAAUCGGGGAGGAGAUCUCAGAGAUGCGUCAGAUGAAGAGGGGUGUAUUUCAGCGAGUAGUGGCCAUUUUUAUCCACUACUGUGAUGUCAACGGAGAGCCAGUUGAAGAUGACUACAUUUAAAUAGACCUUUCCUGGCUCUUCUGGCCCG